rnacentral:rRNA from 1 species
CAGCAGCCCGGGAAUACGUAGGUGGCAAGCGUCGUCCGGAAUUAUUGGGCGUAAAGGGCUCGCAGGCGGUUUCUUAAGUCUGGUGAAAGCCCCCGGCUCAACCGGGGAGGGUCAUUGGAAACUGGGAAACUUGAGUGCAGAAGAGGAGAGUGGAAUUCCACGUGUAGCGGUGAAAUGCGUAGAGAUGUGGAGGAACGCCAGUGGCGAAGGCGACUCUCUGGUCUGUAACUGACGCUGAGGAGCGAAAGCGUGGGGAGCGAACAGGAUUAGAUACCCCUGUAGUCCCUGUCUCUUAUACACA